rnacentral:rRNA from 1 species
AUACGGAGGAUGCGAGCGUUAUCCGGAUUUAUUAGGUUUAAAGGGUGUGUAGGCGGUAUUUUAAGUCAGUGGUGAAAUCUCGGAGCUUAACUUCGAAACUGCCAUUGAUACUGGAAUACUUGAGUAUAGUUGAGGUAGGCGGAAUAUGUAAUGUAGCGGUGAAAUGCAUAGAUAUUUCAUAGAACACCGAUUGCGAAGGCAGCUUACUAAACUAUUACUGACGCUGAUGCACGAAAGCGUGGGGAGCGAACAGGAUUAGAUACCCUAGUAGUCC